AGUGAACGCUGGCGGUAGGCCUAACACAUGCAAGUCGAACGGCAGCACAGUAGAGCUUGCUCUUACGGGUGGCGGGUGGCGGACGGGUGAGGAAUACAUCGGAAUCUACUUUUUCGUGGGGGAUAACGUAGGGAAACUUACGCUAAUACCGCAUACGACCUACGGGUGAAAGCAGGGGAUCUUCGGACCUUGCGCGAUUGAAUGAGCCGAUGUCGGAUUAGCUAGUUGGCGGGGUAAAGGCCCACCAAGGCGACGAUCCGUAGCUGGUCUGAGAGGAUGAUCAGCCACACUGGAACUGAGACACGGUCCAGACUCCUACGGGAGGCAGCAGUGGGGAAUAUUGGACAAUGGGCGCAAGCCUGAUCCAGCCAUACCGCGUGGGUGAAGAAGGCCUUCGGGUUGUAAAGCCCUUUUGUUGGGAAAGAAAAGCAGCAGGUUAAUACCCCGCUGUUCUGACGGUACCCAAAGAAUAAGCACCGGCUAACUUCGUG
rnacentral:rRNA from 1 species